rnacentral:rRNA from 3 species
CCUGGCGGCCAUAGCGCCGUGGAACCACCUGAUCCCAUGCCGAACUCAGAAGUGAAACGCGGUAGCGCCGAUGGUAGUGUGGCAUUCGCCAUGCGAGAGUAGGACACUGCCAG